UCGAUCAUCCCUGGGAGUGUUAUUGGAAGAGAAUUUUGAAACAUAAAAUUGUGAAGUAGAAACCACACCUUGGCACUCUAAUGAAACAUAAAAUUAUUUAGUAGCAACUACAUUUUAAGAGCAGAAUCAAACAUACCAAAGUUCAUUUAUUCAAACACUAGACUUAGCUUAUCAACCCCUCAACCGAAGAAAAGGGACAUGCUCUCCAAUGAAAUAAAAGAACAGUUCUCGGUAAUAGGAGUUCAAGUAGAGAAAAACAAUGAUGCCUAAGAAUGCCACUCCGUAUGAUCCUCCAAAACUCCAUAAGAAUAUGGUUUCCCAAGAGCUAUUUUCUUUGUUGUCUGAAACUGGUGGUUUGACUGCAGGUGGGGCACUAGUGGGAGUGCAACUUCGCUCUAAUGGCAGUCCACAUAGAAGAGGGUUGCCCUCGUAACUGCUUUGUUCAAAUGUUGCAAAUUGAAACUUCCUCUCUGGAGUCUUACCUGAUAAAUUGUUGUGAGCAACAGUGAAGACCGUCAAGAAGUUUAACUCUACUACCAUCUGUGGUGGAAUUUGACAUGUCAAUCUAUUGUGGGAUAGGUCCAAGCUUUCUAUUUCCUUUAGGUUGGAAAAUGUUUAUGGAAUAGAUCCUGUCAAUUGGUUGUACGAUAAGUUUAGAGUAUGAAUCCCACUUAGGUUUCCAAUUUUUGGAGGAAUUGGACCUGUCAAUUCGUUCCCUGAAAGAUCUAAUCCAGACAUGAAGUACAAGAUGUUUCCCAUAUAAGAUUCGGACCUACUCUUUGUUAUGAACUCUAUUUCUUCACUUUCAGCGGAUGUCUUAAAAUUGAUCUCCAUAUACGCGUACUCAGAAAUUUGACUUUCAUAUGAGUAUGUUUCUAUGGGACCAUCCCAUCCCGACCUAAAGCCAUCCAUAAAAAAUGUAUCAUCUAUUAAUGCAACUUAUCUUCCAAAAGUUAUAUUAUCUAGGCAAGGAGGUAUGGAUCCGGAAAGACGAUUAUGAGAAAGAUCCAGUAUGCUGAUUGAUUUGAGCUGACACAAAUGAAGAGGAAUUGAGUCUUCAAGUUGAUUUCCUUUCAAGAGAAGAACCCUCAAUUUUGAAAGUAAACUAAUCCAAAGGGGAAUUAGGCUUGAUAGUUUGUUAUCCCUCAAAUUCAAUGACACAAGAGAGGUAGCUUCAACCAGAACAUGGGGUAUAGGUCCUAUUAGUUCAUUGCUUUCCAAAUGUAAAAACUUCAUGUUUGUUAGAUUGGCACAAAGAGGAAGGGUCGGGCCAAUUUUGUUGUGAGAAAGGUCUAAAAAACGUAGUUCAUUGAGUUUGCAAAAGCCUGUUGGCACAACACCAUCCAAAUAAUUUCUAGACAAGAUAAGUGUCUCCAAGGCUAAGAAGUCUCCAAUCCAAUCUGGAAUUUGACCCAUCAACGAGUUGGAGCUGACAUCCAACAAUAGUAGGAAAGAGCUAUUCAAAAAUCCACGAGAAAUCUCUCCCCAUAAGUCAUUGUUAUCCAAAGACAAAGAGGAUAACCGUGUCAAGUUAGAUUUUGUGGGAAGAGUGUCAUGUAAACUGUUGUUGGAUAACUUUAAAACCUCCAAUGAGAUGCAACCCAUCAUCAUGUGCUCAGGUAGUUGUCCCGAGAGAUUAUUGUUUGACAAAUCUAAGGAUCGCAAUUGUUCCAUGUCACUCAUCGAGGAAGGAAUAUUACCUUGUAAUGCAUUUCCAGACAAGUUUAAGACCUCCAACCUUGGAAAAAUAGAGCCUAUGAAAGGUGGAAGCUCUCCGUGAAUGCAAUUCGAGGAGAAAUCAAGCAAAAGCAUGUGGGAAUGUUUUGAACUUGAGCCCAAAUCAAGAACACCUGUCAAGCUGUUACUUUCAAAGCUUAGGUAUUCUAGUUUCGUAUUAUUGUCUAAUAACCAGGUUGGGACAUCUCCUGUCAUAUGGUUGUAGCUAAGGUCGACCACUCUCAAAUCAUGUUGACUCAAAAGAAAGCUGGGUACAACCCGGCUUGGCCAAUUGAGAGUGAAGUUGGAUAACCGGAGGAUUUUCAAUUGAAAUAGAGGAACUGACCAUGUUGGAUUUUCAAUCUCAACCUUCAAAUACUUGUUAUUGCUAGAAAGUUCGAAAACCUCGAGUCUGGAGUGGUUGAAGAGUGAACCAAAAUAGAUUGAGCCCUCGAAAUGAUUAUAAGAAAGAGAAAUGUACUCGAGUGACUUCAUAUUGGAGAAGAGAGAUGAAGGAAUAGUUCCAUGGAAAUCAUUUCUGGAUAGGUCAAGCAAACGUAGGGAUGUCAAAUUGUUGAGACACAUAGGAAGACUACCCUCAAAUCCAUUAUAACUAAGAUCCAACUCUUCAAGGUUGAGUUUGCACAAGCCUGCGAAAGUGAAACAUGUAAUUUAUAAUUACAAUUAAAAGUAGUGGCAACAACUAAGGGAAAAAUAUAUUUUGGAUUAUCUUGGUUGAUAAAUGUCACCACAAUUCCUAAGGUAACUUGUUGAUAAUUUUAAAUAUUUUUGUACUUAUAUUUUUAUUUUUAUUAAUAAUAAAUAUGUUUACCCUCCCAAUCUUUUUAUUUCUUGUUUUAGAAAAUAAAAUUCCCUAGCAUUUUUAAGAAGCCAAACAUGUACCUGUUAAGAAGAUAAAAUCUUUACUAGGAUUAGAUUUUAUGAAAAUAUUGGAUGAAAGUUCAAGAAAAGAAUUUUGAUGGGAUGAAAAAUGAUUAAAACUCGUGAAAAUAUGAAAAAUUUUGUAAGAAAUUAUAUAAAAAUAAUAAUAUAUGAAUUGGAAUUGUGUUUUAUUAAUAAUAAAUGUAAUCGUUAAUUUUUGUUAUGUAAAUACUAAAGCUAAGUAUAUGGUAAUCCUAGUAAAGAAAAAUCAAAGAUAAGGUCAGAAUAACUUAUAGUAUCGGGAUUGUCAUCCUCUGUGACCAAUACUAAUAUGUUUAGCUAUUAAAUUAGAAAAAUUAAAUAUUGGAUGAAACUAAAUUAAACCCUAAUCUAAAUAAAUAGAAAUAAAAAUUCGAAUGACAUUUUUUUAGAAUAUCUAAUAAAAGCUAAAUAAUGCAAAAGAAAAUAUUCAAGAAGAACACAAGUUUGAUUUCAAAUUCAUCAAAAGAAAGUGGAAUUUUUUAUUUAUUUUGAUGGUUGAAGAGUCAAUCCAAAAUCAAAUGAGAUCUUAAGAUUAGUUUAAAUUUGAAACCCUAAUUUGACGAAAAAGCCUAGAUCACAAAAGUAUUUUAAAUUAACCAUAAUCCUUGUUUCUCAUUUCGACAAUAAAUCCUAGAUUCAUCAAUGAAACUCAUCUCAAUCUCAUGUACCAUUAAUCAAAAUAAGUUGUUCGAUGAUUAAAAGGCAAUAUAGUAUUAUUAGAAUCAAAGUAAGCAUUGAUUGUCCUUAAAUUGAGAGAAACUAGUUAGAGAAAUAAUCAAUCAUAAUUUAAAUACAAAAAGAAAGAUUUUAGGUAUGAAUGUUACCACUCUUCUUUUCUUGAGAUUAAAAAUUUUGAUUUCAUAAAGGUGAAAUCACAAUUUUGAUUUGGGCAACGAUGAAAGUCAACAUCAAGAACUUCAUCUUUGCCAAAAUUGAUUUCUUAAGCAGAAUUCAGAAUUUUAGAUUAUAACAUAAUUGAAUCCAUUUCACUUCUCAAAAGUAGUUUUGUCAAGAUUGUUUUUAUUCACUUCUUUUAUUCUUGCCAGGAUGUCCUAAUUAUUCCCUAAAUUGCUUUCAUGCAUGUUUUCAACUUAACAAACAUUUUUUUUUUUUUUUGCUACUAAGUGGGUAGUAUUUUUUUUUAGGAAUAUUUUAUUAAAAGACUUCAAAUACUAUAAUUUUGAUUGAUUCUAUAUUGAUUAUUCAUGAAUUGCUUCUAAGAUGUUUUUUUUUUCUUUGAUUGAUUAUUGAUUAUCCUUAAGUUGACAUGUUUCCAAGUUGCUCUUUUUGAAAAUCAUACGAUGAUGUUAGUUAUUUGAAAACUUUUUUAUGAUGAUAAUUUGAUUAUUCAUGAGUUGAUUACAAGUUGUUGUUUUUUGAUAAUUCCAUUAUGAUUAAUAUUUAUGAGUUGUUAAGAUUUUUGAGUGUAGAGUAUUUUGAUUUUUUAGUUUAAGUAUUUUGAUAAUUGCAUGAUGAUUAAUAUUUAUGAUUUGUUAAAAAUUGUAAGUUCCUAAAUAUUUUUUAUUUUUUAAAGCGCAUGAUUGUUAGUUUAAGCAUUAUGAUAAUAACAUGUUUUGACAUUCGUUUGUAAAUUAUUGAUAAUUGCAUGAAGUUGAUUAAUUUUAUGUGUUGAUUGAUGCCUAUUAGGAUUAGGGUUAGGUUUGUUGUCUUUGUGUAGUUCUCACUCAAUUUAGGCUUUAUGAUUAUAAAUGAUAGGUAGUAUGGGGCUAUUCCAUUUGGUUUUGCAUUGUUAUUGGAUCUUUUCGUGGUUAUUUGUUAGUAAUGAUCAUAGAUGUUAAAUUUCAAUCCACUUAAUAUCAUACACUUUCAUGGGGUUGUUGAGUUUAGUAUUUUGUAUGCUUUAAUAUCCAUAAAGUCAAAAUUUCAAAAUAUAUAUUUUCUAAGAAACCAAAAGUCAAAUAGGGAACACUCCAAUAGGAAGAGUGGAUAGGUGAUUUAAAAAAAAAAAAAAAAUAUUUAUAUGUUAUACUCAAUUCUUUUACCCUGCGAGAUGUUAGAGAUAAACUUUUCUAUCAAUUAUAGGCAAUUCAAAUCGAAUAUAAAAUAUAUAGAUGAUAAGACAUAAGAUUUUUACGUAGAAAACCCCACACUAAUUGUGGAGAUGAAAAACCACUGGGUUUAAGAUAUAUUAAUCUAAAUCCAUUAUACGAAAUCAAGUUACACAUUUAUUUAUUCGUUUUACCAUAAAGACUUUUACUUUCCAAUACCUACAACUUGAUUCACGUUGGUGAUACAACAACCCUCGAUUGCUCUAGUGGAUCACUUUAGCCUUGUUGAAGGGAUGAAGGACUUCAAACCAAGAUUCAAAGGUCUAAUCAUUGAGUAAGAGAUUGGGAAUUGUAUGAUACUUUAGACUUUCUCUUUAGGAGACCCUCUUUAAGGAAUAUAAAGUCUCUCAAUGAUCCAUCUCUAAUCUCUAACCCUUAAAGGGGUUAAUAGGGAGGUAUUUUUAUGCAAAAACUUGAAGAGUUUCGGUUUUCGAAAAGUUUUAAACCAUAUUUGCAUGAGAAAUCUAGGUGAAAUUUGCAUUAUCACUCGAGCCAACUCACCCACUGCUUGAGUGCCUCAGGCUUGAGCGGUCCUAAGUACUUAAGUGCUCUAGGCCGCUUGAGCGCUCCUGCCAUGUUUCAAAAAUCAAUUUUAAAACCUUUUAAGUUCAAAACAAAAUUGAUCCCCUUAAUACCUCAAUGUAGCUUAAUUUGUCACAAGUCAAACCUUUUUAGAUGUACUUGUGAUUUCUCGGUUGGAUGAAUAACAACUCUUAAUCUUCAUUAAUGGAGAACAAGUCACUAUUUAAAAAGAAUUCUAUGACCAAACAUAAAAAGAAACAAAAUUAUCAAUAUAAAAACAAAACUCAAUGUCCUAAAUUUUUUCAAAGAAAAUUAAUCCAUAAGGUUUUCUUAAAAAAAUCAUCUUAGGUCAUUAGGGUUUAAAAAAGUCUUUUUUAAAAAAAAAAAAAAAAAUACAACCAAUUUCAAUUGGUAUACAUCUUUCCAUUGUUUUUUUAAAUAAAUUUUUAUUUCUGACACAUGAAUCAAAGUUCAUGAUUCCAAAUAAAAAUGAAUGAUUGUUGGCCUUGAUAAACUCAUUAAUGAUCAUACAAGGAUAGGGAUAUGCGAAUUAAACUUGUGUAUAGUAAAUGGGGACUUGGUGAGGCCCCACCCACAUACAUUCAUUUUUUAAAAAAUGUUAAUGCUAUUGUUUGAUGUAUUUCUAACCACUAAAUUAAAAAAUUAGAAGUGAAUGGCUUAGGGUUUUUCUAAAUUUUUUCUAUGCUUAGAGCAUAUUCUUAAAUUUGUCAAUUAAAUUUUUCUUGGGCUUAAAAAUCAUUUUCAAUUGGAAGAAUUAAGUUGGUAUAGGUCUUGUUUUGGCCCUAUUCCGCUUGAGAUGGUUUUGAAAAAAUAAAUUAAUUUUAAUUUUAUUCAAUAUUUUUUACUUAAUCUAGACUUCUUGAAAUUAACUUUAGAUCGCUAUUUUGUUGAAAAUUUAUUUCCUAGGUGGGAGAAAAAAUUCUUCUUUCUGCACCUACUACAUUGGCCCUAUUCUUAGUCAAGGGCUAUUUGUCUUGAUGCAAAAAUUCUUCUCGUGUGAUUUAAUCAUGUUGUUAUUUUUCCUAUGAAGUAGAUGUAUUGAAUAAAUUGCAUGAAUUUUGGUGUGAUUUUAUCAUACAUUUAAAUAAUUUAAUUAAAUUAGUCUUUACAUGCUAUUGAUAUCUACUCUAUUUAUAAUUGAUAUGCUUGUGAUUUAAUGUGGUAUUAAUUGAGACAUAGUUUAGUUAUCUAACAUUUUGGAUUGUAAUCUAGACACAUAAGGGAUGUUAAUCAUUUUGUUUCAUGAUAAAAUUCUAUAUUUAAGUUUUUUUUUUUGGAUUUAUUUUGUAUGUUCACCUAUUAUGCCAUGUUGCUAAAUGUUCUAAAAAGUGAUGAUGAAUUUGUUUUAAUAUGGUAUAAUUGGUGGUGAAUUAAAUUGAUUUGACACUUGGGUUGUAUUGUAGAUACAUUGAGGAUGAUGUAUAAUUUUUAUUUUGAUAGAAUACCACUUAGGUUUUUAUUUCUUAUUUUAUUUUCUAUUUAAAAAUAAAUAAAAAUAAGUGACGACUCAAAUUUUUUUGAAAAAAUCAGUUUUUUCACAAAAGAAAAAAGAAAAAAAGAGUUUCAUUGAGUGGGGACGCAUGUGAAAAAUGCGGGUCCAUAGAGAUACUGUCUCAAUAUCAUAAGAUAUCAUAACGUCUCUAUUUGAGAAUACCUAUUUGCCAUGAACCUUUAUUAUAAUUGACCCAAUUCGUAAAGAAAUAUUAUUACAUUAAGGUCUCACUCAUAGGUCGAAGUCUGUUGACUUCAAUAUAGGCUCAAUAUCUUCAGUAUAGAUUCACUGUAGGUCUUGUAUAAUGUAUAACCAUACACAUUAAUACACUCACUAUGGGAACUCUAUCUCAACGACCAAGACAAGUCAUCUUUUCAAUUAGAAGGUAAUACACUAUAGUCUUUGUUGAGUUGCCCAAAUGCAUGAAUUGAAUAUAAACUUUUCAUCAUCUUGCAAGGAAUUUAUGACUUGAAUAUUUUGUGCAACUCUUAGUCAAGUACAAUGCAAGUGAUAUGAACAUAAGUACUCAGAUAACCAAUUGAUGCAUAAGGGAUAAUAAAGGUAACUAGAAACAUAAAUAAAUUAAUUAAUUUAUUAAUAAAUCUAAAUUUUGUUAUAGCAUGUCAUGCUUUCUUAGACUUUAUAUCAACAAUUAAGACAUCCAAAUCUCAAAUUUCUUCAAGAAUUAGAAAAAAAUAAAAUAAAAUUUAGUGUGUCUAGUGAGCGAAGUAAAUAUGGCACCUAUGGUAAUUAUCAACUUUGAAAAUGUGUAAACUUCCUUUUAACAAGUCUCAUUCAACUAAUAAAUUUCCUCUUGAAAAAAUUACAAUGAUUUAUGGCAGUUUGCCUUAACUUUAUCAUCUAAAAAUUUCCAAUAUUUUGUGGUCUUUAUUGUUGAUUAUAAUUGCUACACGUGGCUAUAUCCUUUAUGAUCCAAAUUUUAUUUAUUUUUAGUUUCUUUCUCAAAUUUCAUUUUGAUAGGAAAAUAAAGACAUUUCAAAGUGAUGGUGAUGGUGAAGGUGAAUUCAUCUCUAUUGCUUUAAUUCACUUUUCAUUUGGCUUAGUGUGGCAUUGCACAACAACUUUCAUUCCUUAUACACAUGAACCAAAUGACCUAGUCGAAAUAAAACAUAGGCAUAUUGUGGAAACGAAGGCUCAUAAUGCUUCUUCAUGCUAACUUACCCAUGAAAUCUUGGGUUGAUGCAUUUCUGACAACAACCUACCUUAUAAUCAGGUUACCAUCUUUUUCCCUUGAUAUGAAUACUUUGUAUUUCAAACUCUAGUUUAUACACCUUUGGAUGUCAGUGAUUUCCAUCCUUAAAACAUCAAGGUAUCAAUAAAAUUUCUCAGAGAAUAAAGUUAUUGUUGGGUUGAUGAAAUGAAAAUUACAUAUAUGGCUACGAAUAAAGUAAAUAAUGCAAACUAUUUCUGAAAAUCUAACAAGAUCUUGUUAAUGCAUAAUCAAAUUUUAAUUCUUCCACCAGGUCACUUCACACUACAAGUAUAACACGAAUCAAGAAGUCGAAGCCUAAAGCACAAGGCGAUGAGGACCGGUCAAGACCGCAGCCUAACAUUAAGGCGCCUUAGCCACACCGAAUGAAGAAUCAUAUGAAGCAUAUCGUAGGGCUGCGCCGGCCGGUUUAUCACGAAAUGCCUCUGCACUUGCUUCACCCUCUUUUGCAUCCUCAAAUACCUCUCAUUCGGAACCGCUUUCAAUAUCUUCUUAAUUUCCGGUAUCUUGUCCGAAGUGAUAUUUAUGGAAAACUUGCUCCAAUCAAGAACUUCACUAAACGGCAGCACAUAGUAAUCGCAGAUGAUUACAGGCACACACCCAGCAGCGAUUGCUUCCACUACUCUGGGGCUGGCAACUUCCCAUCCACUUGGACACAGGCAAAACUUGCUGUCAACCAUUGAUUUAGCGUAGUCUCGAUUGCUGGGAAGGUGCUCGUACACCUGGACUUCGUCAUCAUUUUCUUUCCAGGACCUGAACAGGAGGGUUCGCAUGUAGCCGGAUUCACGGCCGGAGAAGAAGGCGAGGAUGUGACGCUGGUUAGGGGGUUUGUCGAGGUGAGGUGGGCCGAGCUUGCCUUUGGGUAUGUUGACUUCUGGCAAAGAGAUGUCUCUGAUGGGCUGGAACCUUUCGGAGGUGUUGGCAUUGCAAAGGACUCUGAUGAAAUGCUUGUAGAGGUCAGGGGUUACAAUCGAAAUCUCUGGUGCCUGAGAUUUCAAGAUAUAUGAUUGAUUAGUAAAACAACAUUGAUUAUAGAAACAAGUAAUGACUGGAUUUUGAGUUUCAGAGGGAGGGGGCCGUCAAAUCGUAAAUGUUUCUCACUACUUUUAUUAAAUUUUACAGACAUGGCAGCUAAUGUUUGAGAGUUGGGAAUUUUUAGGUUUAGGAAAACUUUAAGAUUUGCAGGAGAAUUCAUUUCUAAAUAGAUUAAGUAGUUUACAUUUUUACCAUAAUUUCUUCAGACAAUUCUACGGAACUACCCUAAUAUAUACAUUGGAGGUCUCUUCCAUCCAAUCCCCUUUUUCCAACUUUCAUCUAGACCUCAUCUUUUCUUCUCUAGAAUCUCUCCAAGCCAGAUUCCUCUUCUCUCAUAUCUCUUCUACUGUCCCGUUUUCUCUCAAGUAUCUCCCAUUUUCCCCCACACCUGUCCAUUUUCCUCAAAUCUUGAAAUCUCACAUCUUGAAAUUUUAAAAUUAAUUUGAUAUUUUUUCUAAUGUUUUCUAAUACAAAAUCGAAGUUCCAACAUAUAUUAGCAAAAGAAAAUGCAAGUACGUACGUACCCAAUCAUGGCAAGAGACUAGGAAAUGGUCAGCUCCAUUACUUCUAUUCCAAUAUGGAUAUUUAUUUGAAACAACGUAGAUGUAGUCUGUGACCAAUCGUUGAAGCAUGUGACCAGAGUAGUCAACAGGAGGAGAGUAGAUAUAGUGAGCAAUGCGAGUUACACUUAUUGGGAUGUAAAAGACAUGAGCCACAUCAGGAUGACCCGCCAUGAAGUGGCUGUCUCCACUUUCCAUCUCAUCCAUAAAUUGCCCUUCAAUGCCAUAGAUGCUAUUUUUUGGCCCACCAUGCACUAGGGGUUGGUCUCCCUCCUUGUAGGUCCAUAUCUUGAAUCUCUUCUCCAUUUCUAUGUGACUCCUAUUAUGCAAUCAAAGGAAUUACUUGCAUGAAAGUUAAUUUUGAUUGAAAAACUAAAUGAAAAAAAAAAAAAGAAGUUGAGUAAAAAAUACACAAUUCAUACAUUGAUAAAUAUAUAUAUAUAUAUAUAAAAGAUAUUUAGGUUAAGUAGAUUAUAUGUAUAUAAUAUAAGAAUGUAAUUAACAACAAUAUCUUAGUGCUGAGUGGAGCUCAAUCUGAACGUGAGAGUUCGACACCUAUACAAGCCACCAACGUGGCUGGGCUGCAUCCUUAACUAAAUUUGGGCACGUGGCUCAUGAUAUCAAACUUUUAUAAAAGCCAAAAACACGAGGAAAAAAAAAAAAGGCCUAACAUUUCGGUGAGGUUUUGAUAAACUUAUGGUUGGGAGAUCAAUGAAAUCGACUUCACAUCUUCUACAAAUGAAUAAAAUGUCACUAAUCAUUCGCCUUUCCGGAAACUUUGAGACAAUUUUUAAAAAUGAAAUAUGGAUUUUCACUAGUAAAAUAGUGUAGUGUGAGCUUAACUGAUGAAAUGCGUAUGGAUUUCUGUAAACAGCUCCUCUAGGGAUGAAAUUUUCUUUCUUUUGUGAAGUAUAAUUGCUUGAACGAACUGCUUCACGUAUUGCCGCUCGUGCACUUGCCAGACCACGUUCAAUUCUCUCCAAAGGACUCAUCUUUUCCUACAAGACACACAAAAAAAGAACAAUAAAAUCAAUCUAAGAAGAACAGCAGCAGUACUGGGUGCAAUUAAAGUUAUGGUAAGUCCACCCACCACAGUGGUAGUGGAAGUUGAGGGAACCCCAUGCGUGGAAACAUUUCCCAGAAACGAAGACGCUUCUGGGGUCUGGUGUUUGGUCUGUGAAUGAUUGGGAGUUGAAGAAGAAGAUGGAUGGAAGCGGAGAUCAGGGUUUUGAUUUAUGGGUGACAGAAAAAAGAUGGAAAGAAGAAGAAGAAAGAGAAGAACAGGAAAUACUAUAUAUGGUGUUGAACUCAAUGUUGCCAUAUAUAUUUCAAUUUUCUCUCUGUUCUGUCACUCCUCUUUGAAGGGUUGAAGGAGGUGGAGACACGUUCAGACAUGGAGUAAAACAAAAUUUAUGAAUGGUUUUUCCUUUGUUCGGUCCGUUACGCAUCCAGUGACGUACUCAUUUGGGCGGUCCAAUCUAAUGUCUGGAAUCAUUCCACCUUAUGUGAGUAUAACAUUAAGAAGCGUCACGGUCCCUUUUUUAGUUCUAUGACUCACCCAUAUACCACUCACUUGAUUAUGAAGAAGAAAUUAAAGAGUGUUCACCGUUUAGCAAGGCCAUUGCAAAAAUUAGGAUUUGUUUUGAUACAUUUUGGAAAAUUGUUUUCAAAAAAUAGUUUUGAAAUCGAUUUUUAAAAUAUUUCAUAUUUUUUUAAAAACACUUUAUUUUUUAAACUAGUUUUCAAAAAAUUGUUUUCUAUUUAAAAAAUUUGUGAAAAACAUAGAAUCUCUUCUUAUUAUAAUUAAAAUAAGAUUUUCCAUUAUCAUUGACUUCUGUAGAGCCUCCUUGACAAUUGUAUUGUGUAACUAAUUUGUAAUGAAAUCUUCCAUCUCAUAAUAAGUAAUAAUCACUAAACAUUACAAAUCCUAAAAAAUCCAAAGCAAUCCCAAAGUCUUAAAAUUAUAUUCUAAUUGUAAAUAUGUCUAAAAAUACAUGCAUUUACACACUAAAUAUACACUGAAAUGCUUGACAUUAAUUAGAGGGUACUUUUGUUGCAAGGCACUACUCGAAGGAUAUGUAAGUUUAAAUGAUAACUUUGGUAGUACAAGAUUGUUGUAAUUAAGUUACUUUCAAUCAUCGUUAAUUGGCCACUUUAUUCAAACAACAACAACAAUAGGUAUAUGAAACAAAUUCUAAUAAUUAGUGUGAAUUGAGUGUAUACCAGUUAGUGUUAGCAAUUAGAGAAAAGUGCUCUUUGUAGCCUGCAUCAAUAUUUUUGAGACCAAUACUUAAGAUUGAUUUGAUGUACUUAUAGAAUUUAUUAAUGUAAAAGAAAUACUCAAAUAGGGAAAUGAAGAGAGUUAGGAGAUAAUGUUGGAAUGGAAGAGAAUGAGAGAGGGAAAGUAUAUAAAAAAAAAAUUGUGAGAGGAAAUUAAUAUAAAAUUUUAAAUAAAAAACCUUGAUUAUUCUAAAGUUAAUACUUUUGAAAAGUUACUUUUUUUUUAAUGUGUUUUUUAAACUAUUAUCAAAGUUAUUUAUAUUCUUUUGAAAAUCACUUCUGACUACUCUCAAAUAUGUAUGUCAAAGUACGAUUUUGUAAGUAUAAGGAGUCGUUUGUAAUUUUAAAAUUAUGAUAAGUCAUGGUUAAACUACAAAGAUGUGAUCUUAGUUGUAUAAAGGAAAUGAAGAGGUUUAGAAGUUAAAUAAAAACUUUUUAGGCAAACCCUUUCACUCGAUAAAUGCUUGAAAAAAGAGGUUGAUGAUUUUUAUUUUUAUUUUUUCCGAAAACUAGAAGGGAGUACUAGGUGAACUUAAAUUGAAAUUUGAUUUAAUAAGAUAUGCAAAAAGUGUUGGAAUAAGGAGAGUCCCUUAGGCUCUCUUGUUUUUAUAAAAAGACCCUUAAUUAAGUUAACACCACCAAGAUUAUCUAUAAGUGUUUUCAACCAAAGAAUUUUCAAUACAAACACAUUUUGAUUAAACCUAAUGCUUCAAACUUAUGAGUUAACCAUGUGAAAUCUUUAAAAUCUUCUAGCAACCUAUUUGUUUGUCCUAUUGCAGCAUUAAAAGCUCAAUAAUAAACGUCUCAAGUCAAAAUGGCUUUCACCAUCAAGUGUUCGAGAUACCCUCAAAAGAGCUUGUAAACUUCAAUUUCCAAGCAUUUAGGCAUGAUAUAUAAAUCACUUGUGAUAUCCUUAAAACCUUUAUUACUUAUUAACUUGCUAAACUCAUAACAUUAAGGAUUCAAUAGUGACCAUCUCUAGUUAAAUAAUUCUCAAUUAUUAAGCACUUGAGAUACCCUCAAGGGGGCCUUUAAGCUCUAAUUUCUAAGUAUCAAAUAAUGGUUUUCUAAUUAAAAACAAAUGAUCCAACUCAUAAAAUGAAUAUAUCAUUAAAUGUCCAAGAUUUAGAGUCAUUUCAUGGGCACAAGGGAGGUCCUAAGGACUCCCAUCUCCUAAGCUUAAAUCACUACUCACAAAAUAUAAAAAUAGAAUGAAAAAUGAAGAACAUAAGUCAAGUAUAAGGAAAUCAUCAUUAAAAACUUGAGCUUCAACUUCAAUAUUGUACCAAACCAAAGCUUAAAAGUAAGUACAUCUAAAUAUACUCAAAGGAAAGAAGUUUGAGAGAUUACAAGCAACUAAAAGGCGCAAAACAAUAUAAAAAAUUGAAAUUUUAAUAGCAUGUCCCAAAGUUGGAGGUUGAUGAAGAAGUGCUCCCCACUAAAGGGCUUCCUCUAAAAUCCUCCUUCUCCAAUUGCAAAAUCUAUUUAGAGAUGAUCCCAUGUUGCCCUAAGUGGUAUACCACAUAGAGUCAUAAAAAAUAAAGUGUGAGAUCCAAUGGUGGCUUCAGAUAAGCCCAAAAAUGUAGGUCUCCCAUGUUCUUCGAGUUCUAGAACAAAAUGAUGACAGUUACAGAGAAAAUGGCACUAGGUUGUAAGGUGGACAUCUUCUACUCAAAUUGGCAGCGCCAUUAUGAAAAAAGACACCAAACUACAAGGUGGUUCCAUUUUUCUUCGAAUGCUCCUUAGCUCCUUCAACGUUUUUCUUAUUUUUCAUCAAUCUUUUAUAAUUUUUUUUUGUAUAUAUAGAUAGAAGACGUUGAAAUAUUCUUAAAAUUGGUAAGAUUGAUCUUCAAAGAGUAGAAAUUAGAAAAAAUUACUUGAAUUCAUUUGGGCAUUUUUAACCUCCUCAACUGUCCUCAAACUUUUGAUUGGUUGAAGGAGGAUGACACCAUUGAAUUUCAUGCAACUUUGAUCCUUUGACUCCACUCAUACUCCAGUAAUGCUCUUGCAUUCCAAAUAUUCCAAGAAGUUUCCAACAUCAUCAUUAUUCAUGAAAAUAUAUGUAAACAUAUCAAGAAGUAAUGAAAAAUAUGAUAAAACUAAGCAUAUGCAAGGUUUCUAUCAUAUUCAAAUAUAAAAAAAUUAUUCUCCUUUCCAUUUUUUUCUUGCUUAACUUUCUUCGUCUCUCCUUUACUUUUGGCCAACAAAAAUUGACAAAAAUAAAAAUUGAUAAUAGAAUCAUUAUCGGUUAAUUUAUAUAUAUAUAUAUAUAUAUGUAUAUAUAUACAUUCAUAAACUCAUGCUAAUAGUUAAUUUCAAGAAAUAGAAUUGUUCAUAGAAAACAAUAACUUGGGUGACAUUUGGAUACAAUUCCUUUUCCUUUUUUUUUUUUUUUUGUAACUUUUAGAAAUAGAAAAUACUCCUAUUAAAAGUAUAGGAACUUAUGUACAAAAAGUAAAAAAAAUUAUCUUAUAUUCUUAACAACUAUUUAACAGAAGUAAAAAUAUUUUACUUAAUUUCUUCAAUUUAAAAAAAUUUAUGAAGUGUUUUCAACAAUCCUUGUUUUUGUAUAAGGAUUCCUAUAGACUUUAAUAUGAUACUUUCUAUUCUUAAAUAAAAAAAUAAAAUAAUGUAUCCAAACAUCACCUUAUCAAACAAAAAAUAUGGAGCUAUCUUAGGAGGUAAUUGUGAGGAAAACUAUUAUCUAAAAUAUAUAUAUAUAUAUAUACAUUAUGACUACUGGGCUCCACUCAAGCACACCAGUUCCACACUCAAUACACUCAGAAUUUGGAAGAGAGCUACAAUAAAUUGCAAUGAAGAACAUUUCAAAACUAAUGAUAACUCCUCAGAACAAUUAUUCUCAAAUUAUAAAUUCAAAAUUUCACAAUUCAAUUAAGCCACUCCAGGAUACAUCAUGUAACAACAAAUUGAAGACAGAAGAAAAACAAUAUCAAGAUGGCAACCUAACAUUAAGGCGCCUCAGCCACACCGAAUGAAGAAUCAUAUGAAGCAUAUCGUAGGGCCUCGCCGGCCGGUUUAUCGCGAAAUGCCGCUGCACUUGCUUCACCCUCUUUUGCAUUUCCAAAUACGUCUCAGUCGGAACCGCUUUCAAAAUCUUCUUGAUUUCCGGUAUCUUAUCGGAAGUAAUAUAUAUGGAGAACUUGCUCCAAUCAAGAACAUCGCUGAACGGCAAGGAGUAGUGAUCGCAAAUUAUCAUAGGCACACAGCCGGCAGCGAUGGCUUCUACUAUUCUGGGGCUGGCGACUUCGUAUCCACUGGGACACAGGCAAAACUUGCUGUCCCCCAUUGAUUUACUAUAGUUUCGAUUACGGGGAAGGCGCUCAAAAACCUGGACUUCGUCAUCUUUCUCUUUCCAGUACUUGAACAAGACACUCCGUACGUAACCAUGAGCGCCCCCGGCGAAGAAGGCAAGGAUGGGACGCUUGUUGGGGGGCUGGUCGAGGUGGGGCGGACCGAGCUUGCCGCGGGGUAUGUUGAUUUCUGGGAUUGAGAUGUCUCUGAUGGGGUGGAACCUUUCGGAGGUGUUGGCAUUGCAGAGGGCUCUAAUGAAAUGCUUGUAGAGAUCAGGCUUUAGAGCUGAAACGUCUGGUGCCUGAGAUUUCAACAUAUAUGAUCUUAAGUCAAUUUAAAAUUUUUCUUUUCUUUUUCAUAUAAAUCUUAAUUAAAUUCGAAAGAAUUGCAAGGGAUCCCAAAAUAUUCAUCAUACGUAAUGGGGAAAAUGUAUAUACCCAAUCAUGACAAGAAACCAAGAAAUGGUCAGCCCCCUUGCUUCUAUUCCAAUAUGGAUAUUUAUCUGCUACAAAGUUGAUAUAGUCUGUGACCAAUCGUGGAAUCCAUUUACCAUGGUAAUGUGGAGGCUCGUAGAUAAAAUGAACUACUCUAGUUAAACUCAUGGGGAUGUAGAACGCAUUCGCCUCGUCGGGAUGACGAGCCAAAAAUUGGCUCUUUCCACUUUCUAUCUCAUCCAUGAAUUGCCCUUCGAUUGCAUAGAUGUCAUUUGAUGGUCCGUCAUGCAUUAGGGGUUGAUCUCCUUCUCGGUAUGCCCAUAUCUUGAAUCUUUUCUCCAUCUCUAUAUGACUCCUAUUAUAAAAUUGAAAAAAUUAAUUGUGAAAAUUGAUUUAAUUGAAUAAUAAUAAUAAUAAUAAUAAUAAUAAUAAUAGAUUGUUUUUGUUAAUAACAAUCUAUAGUAGCACUUUUUUUUAAAAAAAAAUUUAUUAGGGAGAACAUGUUGGUCUUUAGAUAUAAUAAUAAAAAAGUGUUUUUUAGUCUUACUUUACAUAAUAAAAUUAUAAUUUUUAGAAAAAAAAUACUUAUUAAGAACACGCGCAUGUUUUUUUUAUUUUUAUUUUGGAGAGAUAUAAACUAAGAAAGUAUAAUUUUUGGGAAAAAAAAAAUCUUACUAAAAGCCCAUUUGAAAAUGAUUUUAAAAGAGAUUCAAAGCAUUUUCUAAUAAUGGAAAGUGUUUUCUUACAAAAAUGUGGUGUUUAAUAAAUUUUUGAACACACUAAAAAUUUAAAGAAUCAGUUGAAGUGAUUACUUGACAAUUAAUACUACGAUUUUCUUUGAAAAUUCAUUCGAUCUUAUUCUAAUAAAAAACAUUAGAAAAUUAUUUGUUUUUAAGUUUAUACUCAAACACCAAGUAAGAAUGUGUUUGAUAGUAAUUUUAUGAAAUAUUUCUUAUAUUUCUAAUAUUUCAAAAGAUAAAAAUUUUCAAAUGUUAGAAAAGGUAAAAACACUUCCUAAAAUUACUAUAAAAUGCAUUCUAGAAGUGUGUUUGAUAAUAAUUUUAAAAAACAUUUUUAGUAUUUCUAACACUUAAAUAAUAAAAAUUUUUAAUUAUUAAAAAUGUUAGAAACACUUUCUAAAAUUAAAAAUACUUUCUAAAAUUAUUGUCAAAUAAUACUAAUUUAUUUUUAAAAGUGUUUAUAAUAAAAAUAUAAUUAAUAAGAACACUACACAUAAAAUCAUUUAUUUAUUGUUAAAAGCGAGCCUCAAUAAGUAGAAAGUAGUUAUAACUUUUCACUCGUCAUUUCACCCUAUAAAAAGGAGUUAUUUAAGUUGAUAAAUGAGAUUUAAAAAAAAAAAAAAAAAAGCAGAGAAAAAAAAGAGAUGGAUUUUAGUAAAUGUAAUUUUCAUUCAAUAAAAAGAACAUGCAUGUAAAGUAGGUGUAUUAUGAGACUAAGAGAAGUAUAUAAUUUCAUGAUGGCAAAAAUUGAUAAAGAAAAUAUGAUAUUUAAUUAACUAAUAGAAUGUAAUUAUUAUUUUGUCGUACUGUUUUAUUUAUUUUUAUUUUAAAAAAAUAUUACUAGCUAUUAUUAAAAUGUAAAAAUCUUGUAGAAAAAUAGAAUUUACUUUCUUUUCUUGCACAUUAGUAAAAUUUUAAAAAUUUGAGAUAAUAAAAAAAUUUUAGUGCUUAUAUUUUUUAAACUGUUUUAAAAAUUAUUAUUUUUUAAAGUAAAUGUCUAUUAUUUUGUAAAUGUUUUUUAUAAAAACAAAAACUAGUAUAGGUUGUUAAUUAACCUAAAUCAUUUUGACAUAAGCAAAGGUGAUAUGUGACUUCUUAAUAAUAGUACUAAUAAUAAUAAAUAAAUAAAUAAAAAUAUGAUUACCUACAAUAAAUACCUAAUAUGCAAAAAAAAAAAAAAAACAAAAUGUCACUAAAACUAAUCAAGUUGUUGGAAUGGACUGAAAAUUACAUAGAUAUUAACACAAAAAAAAAUGGAAAAGAAAAGAACAUGAAAUACAGAUUCCAUAGUGCAUUAAGUGAUUAGCCAACAAACAAUCCAAUAUUAUGAAUAAACUGAAUCACCUUCUUGACCUUUGAAAGCCUCAUGUCUUCCUAUGAGAUUUUUCAAUACCAUUACUUGAUUAGGACAAUCUUCUUAAGUCUUUUUGCAAGCAUUCUCCCACCAUUAACAUCAAAAAAUUAUCAGUCUAUGCUAUAAGAAAUAACUUAUUUGAAAUUCUAAAAAGUAAAAAUAAGAAAAAUAAUACUUUCUCUUAAAGUUACUUGUAUUCAAAUGGUAAAAUAUAACCAAAAAUAUGUUAUUUCACACACAUGAAAUGUUACCUGCACUCUAGGGAUCGACCAUGAACUGCAACUAUCAGCAAAGUUUAAUUCUUCAUAAUUACAUUAAGAAUGAAAACGAUAUGAAUUUGUUCCUACUUAGUUUCAAUCAUAUUCAAUGGACCAAUUUAAUCCAAAUCCAAAAUUAAACUUACUAUAAAUUCAAUACAUGGAAGUGUGUCCUAGAAAUCAUAUAUAGAAAAGACGUGGAAUUGUACUCUACACCAAUUUAUCAUAGCACCAUCAAUGAGGCGUGUGGAAAAAAAAAAUGAAAAUGAAGAGGAUCCUUAUUAUUGUUACUGAUAUAAAUGGUAGGCCACGUCACAAUUAUUAAGAAUAUUCAUAAAUUAUUUUAAGAUUUCUUCCAAUGUUGCCAAGGUUUUGGCUUUUCUCAAUUUGCAUGCACACAAUUGACUCAACAUAUAUAAGUAACAGCUGUAUAUACCCUCUACGAAUUAUACAAGACUUUUUAGUUUAAAUAUUUUUAUUGGUUUUUUUUAAUUAAAUUUGGUAAAUAAAUAAUUUAAAUUUUGAUAAAAAAAAAUUACAUUACAAGCCAUCAGAAAGAAACACCCUUUUAUGGGUUAAUGAAACAAAGAUUGAACUGUUCUUAGACUAGGUAGGUAGGAUCAUCAAUUUGAGACUUUCUAGAUGUCUCCUUUUGUCAAAAUAAUGUUUCAAAAUUUUAAAUAAAUAAAGUGGAGGUUAAUAUUUUAUCAUCGAUUUUUUUUUUAUUUCUUAUUUGAUAGAAGAAAAUGAAAGGCAUUCCAAAUUGAUAAUUGUAAAAGUGUUAUUAGAAAUGUUUUCAUGGACAAUUUAAUGAGUAUUUAAAUAUAAAUUCAAUUGGUGUACUUUUUUUUGUGAAAAGAAAAAAAAAAUUGGAAGAAACAUUUAAUGAAUACCAAUAAAAAAAGAUACUUUAAAAGAUUUAUUUAUUUAAAUUUUUUCAAAUACUCAAUUUUUAUUAGGAAAAUAUAUUUAAAUAUUAAUUAACAGGGCAGAUCUAAUGCAUGCCAAAAGAAGCAUAUGCCCCUUUAAUUAUUAUUUUUUUAAAUUAUCAUUAGAUUAUAAAUGCUUUUUGUUCAUUUUUGCCCCGCCAAAAUCAAGAGUUAGAUGUUGCCCACUGUUAAGUCAUUUGCUGGUUUGGUCACUGGUAGCUAAGGUUUCUAAAUCUUCAAGAUGGCUCCUAAAAUGUACUUUUUACUUCAAUUGUCCUUUUUAUUGUUAUGUUUAAUUUUAAAAUCAUAAUAUCAUAUGAAACUACAAUCAAACUAAGAUAAGUUUCUAAAUCAUAUAAUAGAAGCAUUUUUUAUUUAUUUAAUUAUUUCUUAAUAAAUUUUGAAUUAUGAGCCGAAUCUAAGAAUAUAAGUUAGGGAUAGUUUCUUCUUCAAACAUGCAUUACGAAAUGCCACAUUGCUUUGUCAACAAAAUCAUGGUUUUUCAACAUCAUAUUCUACUUACAAAAAUCUUUCAAGAUGUAAGGUUCCUAUUUAAUCAAAUUUUCCUGCAUAAUGAAGCCACCAAAGAGAUUAAUCCAAAGAUUAAUAACUAAAUAAAGAUGAUGCAUGUCUCUAGUUUAGAAAUUAAAUUGUUCUUCCUCGAUAGAAUGAAUUAGCUUUGAACUUAACUGAUGAAAUGCAUACGGAUUUCUGUAGACGUCUCCUCUUGGGAUGAAGGUUUCUUCCUUUUCUGAAGAAUAAUUCCUCCUCUGAAUCGCCCUGCGUAUUGCCUCUCGGGCUCUCGCCAGACCUUCUUCAAUCCUCUCCACAUGACUCAUUUUCUCCUAUAAAAUUGCACCCAAAAAAGAAAAGAAAAGAAAAGGAAAAACAAACGGUUAAUGAACGAAAUUGUUAUUAAGCUUCAAACCAAACAGAAAUCAUUGCUGAAGUGGUAGAUUAUCACGCACUCUGAAACGCUUCCUAAUCUCGUUAGUUGCACUGGCUCCAUCAGUGGAAGUUGAGGGAACCCCAUCUGCAGAAUCAUUUUUCGGCAACAGAGAUGGGGACGAUGAGGUUUGAAGGGUUUGGUGAGUUGUCUCUGAAAGGUUUGAAUCCGUAGGGAGCAAAUGGCGGAGGAUGUUUUGGUUUCGAUUUAUGGGUGACAGGUACAAAGGGAUGAGAACAAUGAGGAAGAGAAUAGCUGGAAAUAUUACGAACCGUGUGGGACUCGAUGUUGCCAUGGCUUCUUCACUUUUUCUGUCUUCUUCUCCACUCACUUUCGUGAAAGGGUAUGAGCGAUAGAUAUGGUUAUGAUACAGACAUAGAGCAUAGAAUGGAACCAAAUAUCUGUAGGUUUUUUUAUUCUGGUUCAUCACGCACUCUUGCUGCUAUUGUCCAAAUUCUAUAUGCGGGACUUACCUUUAGAGUAAUGCUGUCCAAAUUAUAUGAGUGGGAACCACCUUUUGAUGACUUGUCAAAUGGCAGACCAUCUGGUAAACAACAAAAGAAAAUCAUGAUUCUUAAUUAAAAAUAGAAAGACUGUAGGAAGGCUGACCAAGGCCAACAUGAAGGCAGCCUAAGAUUAAAUACAAGGGCUCUUUUCAAAUUAGGUUUGCUUGUAAGAGUUUUGUAAGGGUCUAACAUAAGACUCAAAAUAUUAGUAUCUUUGUUUUGGUUAAUUAUCUUGUAGAAUUUAAUUCCUUUUUUGUACUUUUCAUAACUUGUAGAGAAAUUUCUUCUUGUGUUUAAUUCAAAUUUAUUACAUUCAAAUUGUGGUUUGAAAUUGUCUUUGAACACAUUUUUAGUUAAAAGCAAAAUAUUGUCUCAAAGAAUGAUGACGAAGAUGGAAAGCUUAAUGGGUAUAGUAGAGAGAUAUGUAAAGCUUUCCAAAUUUGAGAUUGAUCAUAUGAAUGGUUGAAAGUGCCUUCUUUAUCAAUAGAAUUAGCUAGAGGUUGAAUGAUAAUACAAUACUUCAAUAUCAAAAUUUAAAUUUAUUCCUAUGCUCCUUCUAUUUUAACAAUAAUUGGGAAUAUGGCAAUAAUCAAUUCACAUGAGGUAUACAUGAUGAAAAAAUUACCUAUAUAUUUGAAUUUUCAAGAAAUUUUGUAGAUAUAAAAUCAUAGGUCAAUUAAUCAUCGGAGAUAAAAUUUACUAAAUAUUAGCAUAAUGUAAAUACUCUUAUAUGAUUUGCAUGCACCUACACUUAAAAGGGCUUUUACAAAUCAAUAUUUAUACUCUUUUUUCACAUUUCUAAUGUAACAUCUCCUACUUCUUAAUGGAUCACGUCAUUUUCGUGUUAAGGUUGUGAAUCAAUAUAGCACAUGUAUUUCCACUUAAAGGACUUUCAUGACAAAUACUUGAAAACUUUCAAAGUUUAGUGUUUAAAAGUAGAACAGUAGUUAUAUCCUCAAUUUGUGCAUCUCAUAGUUAAGACCACGGAAUAUUAUUUAUAGAAAAAUCCUAAAUGAUUUAUUCAAAGUAUAUAUAGAAGGUACGAUAUUAUUAAGAAGGACCAUUUAAACUAUUAAAAAAAAAAUUAACUUCUAUACAAGUUUGCCAAGCACUCAAACCACUCAUAGAGAGACUUUUAAAUGCCUUUUAAGGUAGUGUUAAAUGCCUUUUUACUUAGAGUUUUAAUUACUUUCCAGUUUUAAUAGCCCUUGCAAUGUAAUAAUACUCCAAACAUGCACUUACCCCAAUUGAAAUCAAUGUCUGAAUAACUUGAUCAUGAUCAUAAAGACCUAAGAAACUAAUUAGCGCUAGAAUCAAUAUUUAAAUAUAAUAAAAUUGUCAACCUAGUUUGAAGCACUAAUAGUUCAUCUAUUUGAUAAUUUUAUAACAAAAUAUAGAUUGUAAUGAACCCUCUCAAACUCUUAAAAUAAUGUUUACUACUGCCACAUGGAAUAGAAUCUUAAUCAUAAUAUGCAUUCCCUUCCCUCCUCGCUUAUUUUCAUAAAAACGAAAAAUUAUUCCAUUUUUGUGAAUCUUUCUUAGCACACUACCUAUGACCUAAACACACUCAAACAAAGCUAGGAAAAUUAGUGUAUGAAAAGCAUGUAAAAAAAAUGACUAGUGAACUUUUUUAUUUUUUAUUUUUUGUCACAAAACUAUUAAAGUAGAAAAUGUAGCUAAAAAAUAAUAAGCAUCGAGAAGCAGGAAGACAAAUAUAACCAAUAAUGAGACACAAGCAUCAUCAAAUAAACAUCAUUGAUCAUAUCUAGAAUUGUAAAGGCAUAACUAUGUCAUCCAAUAUAUAAUUAAAAGAGUAUUUGAACACAAUCCGUGAUAUCUAAAAGGAAUAGUCAAAUACAUCCAAAAAGAAGACAACUCAAUCCUAACCAAAUAUACUAAGGCUAUAUUUGGUUCCCGGAAAAUGCGAGAGAAAGAAAAUUGGAAGGAAAAAUGGAAGGAAAGAAAAAGGUAAGGAAAGUAAUAUAAAUUUUUUCACUUGUUUGGUUAUCCAUGAAAAAUUCAAGGGAAAAAAAUUUAUUUUCUUUUGUUUGGUUAACUAUGAAAAAUAAGUCAAGAAAAAAUGAAAGGAAAAUAAAUUCAAUAAUUUGUUUAAGAUGAUUAUCAAUUUAUAGAAUAAUAAAAUAAAUUUCAUAUUCGUAUUUUCUAAAAAUCAGAGGAAGACCCAAUUUUCCAAUCUUCCAAGAUGGAUUCUAGAUGGACCAAAUCGAAGAUCCUUCACAAUUGAAGGGUCUCAAAUAAAGCAAAGCACCAAGCCUGGGAGAGCUGGACGCCGCGGACGACGGGGAGGGGGAUGAAGCGGUAGAGGAGGGACAUGAGGCUGGUGGCGCCGAAGAUGAAGAGGGUGGCGGCAGUGGAGAGACUCGCGACAGCGAUUUGGGGGAGGGAGAGGAGGGGGUCAGAGAUGGCGACGACAGCGAUGGACUUCAUGGGUUGGAUAGGCAUUGGGAUGCUGAAGAGAAAGCCGGUGGAGAUGUUGUAGAGAGCCGUGAAGAUGAGGGUUGUGGAGAGGUCCAGAUGGUUGACCAGUGUGAGAGUUAGGACGAUGGGUAUGUAGGUGCCCAGGUCGCCCACAGAGCCCCCGAGCUCGACGGAGAGAGUGGUUUUGAGACGGAAGGAGCUGAACCACCACCGGCUGGGGCGGAUGAGAGUGGUGGUGGAAGGUGUGUCGUCGGCCAUGAAGGCAGCACAGUCAAAGGACUGAGUUUGUGAAUUCAGUUUUGCGGUGAGAGAGACAGACGAGGGCCGGAGGGGGCAUAGCAACCGGUGAAGAGCCCGAUAAAUUUUCCUUCCUCUUUUUCUCUUAUUUUCCUCGUUAUCUUUUAAGGAAAAUAGUAAGAAAAAUAUUAUGAUAUUUUCCAUCAUAUUUUCCUUUAUAUUUUUUUUCCAUCAUAUUUUCCAUGUAAUCCAAACUAAAGAAAAUGAUUUUCCACAUGAUUUUUUUUCCUUUCCUUAGCAUUUUCCAGGAACCAAACAUAGCCUAAUAGUCCAUAUUCAAGAGUGGGAAAUAUAUGCAAGCUUAGACCAAAUUGAGAAGUAGCCUAAAUUUAGGGAAAAAUUAAAAUUUCGUACUACAAGAAAACAUGCUUUUCCUAGUGAAAAUUUAGGAACAAAAUAAAUUUUUGUCACUAAAAAUAAUUUUUCUAAUAAAAUUCCAAAUAUUGUCACUAACACCAAAUUUUUGACAAAUUUUCAUGAUGAAAUUGAAAUUUCUCCUGCCAAAAUAAGUGGCAGAAAAUUUAGAUUUUUUUUCUCUUUUGUAUAAACAGAGUUAUGAUGAUUUAAUAAACUUAAUCCUACCACAAGUAAGAAUCAAUCUAAAGAAAAUAGUUAGGAUGUUAUCAAAGAGUUGGGUGCACUAAAGGAUUUGUAAGUGAAAGAAUUAAUGCACUUGAGUAGAGAGCUUUGCAUGAGAGAAAAUAAAUGGUAACAAAUAAACGCAAGUGUUCUCUUGGUCAAUAAAUGUAUAAGAACUCUCUAAUUUAUAGAAAAACUUCUCAGGCACCCAAAAUUUAGCAAAAAGUGCUAAAUUGGUUGAGCUUCAAUUCAAUCGAUUGGAUAGUAAUUGGGGCAUUUAAUGCUCUAUAGGCAACCAUUGGUGAGAUUUAGCUUUGAUCGAUUAAACACUAGAUAUUGGAAAAGAAAAGAUUUUUUAACAACUUUGCUUAGUCUGAUUCAUGCCUAAUUGGUGUCUCAGCUGAUUCGUGUCCAGCUGGUGCUCCUUGAUUGAGGGAGUAAUCAACAAAAUUUAUAACCUAUAACACCAUAUACUAGGGUAGCAAAGAAAAAGCUACUAUAGUAUAGUGGCUCUAGGAUCGUUCACUGGGAAGGAUUAGCAAGCUAUCAAUGAUACCAAUUCAAAGUGAAUUGAGCUUGUUUCAUUUCAAGGUUAGCUUAAGAAAUAAAACAUAAACUUUGAUUGGUAAAGAUUUAGACUUAAACUAGCUAACACAAUAAGUAAUGGGAAAAACUUAGGAAGACAAACAUUCCUUGGAGAGUUAGGUUUACUGGGGUGGUUCCUCGUGCAAAAGACAUAGUUCCGGUCAGAUGGUUCAUUUCCUCGCGUUAGAGAUUCAACAUAUAGUCAAUUCUUUAACCGGUGUUGUACAGAUACAUCCUUCAAUUAGAUUUCACUUUAAUUCUCUCAUUGAUGCAACUUGCAAUGGUUUAAGCCUCUCACUAAGCCUUAACCAUUCAAGGUGAUCUUUAACCUUGGAUUACCCGUCAAAAGCUCGCAAGAGAUAACUAAUGGAUGUCUCCUUGGAGUCUAAAAGCUUAGCAAGUGUUGGCUAUUCUAGAAAAUCCUACCCUAAAGUCACCUCCUAGAGGCUCGCAAGGGGUAAACUAGUGCAUUUCCACGGUUGGAAAUCACUUGCCUUACCAAGUGUUGGCCCAGGUGACUCUAAGGUGUUUUAAGUUAACUAAAAACAUAGAAAUCACUAAAGGAUUUCACUUCCUCUUCAUUACUUGCUAAAACCACAAAGCUUUGCAUUCUUGCACUUGGAACCUUCCCCAGCAACCUUAGCUCCAAGGAACUAGAGGUUUAGUUACUCAUCCUCUGGGGAAAACUCCUCAGAGAGUUCAUAACUUAGUAAGAAAUAAAUAAUACAAAGUGAGAAGGUAAGGCAAAACAAAGGCCUGAACUUUACUUGCUUUCCCAAAACUUUACAAAGGAUCCCCCCUUGAGAACAGGCUCCCGAGAGGUAUUUAUAUGAACAUAAUAUAAAACUAAUUAUUACAUAGAUAUUUUCUCUUUUUACUAACUUAAAAGCUAAGGAAACUUGUAAUUGGUGGCUUACAAGGAGUAUUUUGGGAUUUUGACAACAAAAAUCUGAUGUAAAAUAUCUCCCAAUGUCGGUAGCAAAUAUCGGGAUGCUCCAGGAACCAUUUCGCAAGAGAAAAUGGUGUCUGCGAGAUUUCGCAGACACUCAAGAAGGGCUGCGAAAUCACUUCGCAGCAAAAGGCCAUUCUCGCAGGGCUGCGAAGUUGGCUUCCACCUUGAGGUUCCCAGCUUCCUCCUUGCGGCAUAUAUCGGGCAACUUCAGAAGGAAAUACACCCUAUUGUACAAAAAGGCUGCGAAAUCACUUCGCAACAAAAGGGUGAUUUCGCAACACUUUGCAAAAUGCUUCCUUCAGCUUGGAGUGAUUGGCUUGCAAUGACUACAACUUCUUCGUUUCAACUCCGAAUUGCACACCGUUUGAAGCAUUGGAUUGUUGACUUCCUGAGCUUCGAAACGACAUAUAGCAUGCAUAAAUUGGACUUCAAGAAGUGCUCCAAAAGUGGCUGCCAUGACUGUCAUCAAGAAUAUGCUUCAUGGCAGAUUCUCUUUACUUUUUCUCAUUGCAUUCCGGAUUUACUCUUGGCAAAUGACUUCCAAGCUUUUCCCAAGAUUCCUCAUAACUCUCCUCAAUCUUGAAUUGCUUUGGUGAUCAAAUUACUAACAAAAACAUCAAAACUUACACAAAGUGAUUAAAAUUGCUUUCAAGGGUCCUUAACAUGCCAAUUGAGUUAAAAGGCCAAAACUACUACUCAAAAGUGUUUAAAAGGAUUAAUUAUAAGCUAUCAAAUAGCACUUUUUGAGUAGUAAUCAUAGUCCUCAUCAAUUGAGAAAGCUUAGGCGAUUGAACCGGUUCCUUAAUUGAUUCUAUCAGUUCAAGCCACCCUUGAUUGGUUAAGCAAAAACUAGCUCAAAAAGCUUCUCAUUUUAGCUCUAAUAUUCCAAUAACUUGAACAUUUCAUUUAAAAACCUUUAUAGGAAAUUUUUAAAAGAAUUUAGCCUAAGGUUUUGAGGUAAAAUGCGUAUUCAUCCAUUUUUAAGAAAUUAAGAUCAUUCUUAAACUAUCAAGGUAUGAAUGAAUGCAUUCGAAAGUGCAUGAGAAAUCAAUUUUAUACUAAGCGUACCUAUGAGACUCAUUUUACAUUGGUUCCUAGACAUCUUGAGUCUUCAAGGAUCCAUCUCUUUAUAAUGUUUAAAUUUCUUAUGAACAAUCUUAAGCUUUCUUCUGAAUUUAUCAAUAAAACCUAAAAUUUUAUUUGAUUUAAACAAGUUAGUACACUUAUCCUUGUUUUCUUAUCAUCAAAAUGUAUUUUGGAGAAUCCUUAGGCUAACAUCAAUUUUGAUUUUAAUGUUAAUUUUAGUAAUUUUAAUUAUAGUUUUAGUUGUUAACUUGAAUGUUAGUCUUAGUUUUGACUUUAAUUUUAAUUUUAUUUUUGAACUAAAUUCCAAUCCUCAUCUUAGUCUUAAUUUUAAUUUCAAUUUUGAAAUCAAUUUUAGUUUUGAAUUUAAUUUUUAUUUUUAUUUUAAUCUUCAUUUUAAUUUUAAUCUUAAUUUUAAUUUAAUCUUAAUUUUAAUUUUAAUCUUAUAAUUUUGAUCUUGAUUUUGAUUUUAAUUUUAAUCUUAGAAAUGAAAAGAAAAUUUGUUUUUUAUGAUUAAAAUUCAAAUUGGAGAACAAAAGUUUGAAGAAAACCAACAAAGGAAAAAUUUAGUUUAAUCUUAAUUUUAUUUUUAAUGUUCAUUUUAGUAAUUUUAAUAUGGUUUUAAUCUUUAACUUUAAUUUUUGUCUUAAUUUGGGUGACAUCACAUAUCGGAUAUGGGAGAAAGUUCCUGACGCUAUAUAUGUAGAGGCUCCUCUUAACCUUAUAGAUUUGUUUUAAAGUCGUGAAAGUUCAUUUGGGUCCAGAGUGAACAAUAUCUACAUGGUUGGGUGCGGGUCAUUACAAAUGGUAUCAAAACCGAUCCCUAACCCCGAUGUGGGAGUUUGUUUGGUACCAUAGGGGGUGUUUGUUUGUUUCACCCCAUAAUCUUGUAUGACACAACAAGGAUGUUAUGUUUGCAUAGGGGAGAAAGUUUCUGAUGCUAUAUAUAUAGAAACUCAUCUUAACUUUGUAGAUGCGUUUUAAAGUCGUGAGGGCCCCCUUGGGUUUAAAACGGACAAUAUCUACAUGGUUGGGUGUGGGUCAUUACAAAUCGUAUCAAAGUCAAUCCCCAACUCUAAUGUGGGGGUUUGUUUGGCCCCAUAUGAGGUGUUUGUCUGUUUGACUUCACAAUCCUAUGGAACACAACGAGGACGUUGUGUCUACAUAGAGGGUGGUUUGUGACAUCCCACAUUGGAUAGGGGGGAAAGUUUUUGGCGCUAUAUAUGUAUGGACUCUUUUAACACUGUAAACGUGUUUUAAAACCGUAAGGGCCCCUUUGGGUCUAAAGUGGACAAUAUUUACAUGGUUUGGUGCGGGUCAUUAUAAAUCGUAUCAGAGCCGAUUUCCAACCCUAAUGUGAGAGUUUGUUUGGUCCUAUAGGAGGUGUUUGUUUGUUUGUUUGGCCCCAUAAUCCUGUAAGACACAACGAGGACGUUAUGUCUGCAUGAGGGGUGUUUAUGACAUCUCACAUCGAAUAGGGGAGAAAGUUCCUAGUGCUAUAUAUGUAGAGACUCAUUUUAACUCUAUAGACACAUUUUAAAGCCAUGAGAACCCCCUUGGGUCCAGAGCAGACAAUAUCUACAUGAUUAGGUUGUUACAAAUAGUAUUAGAGUCGAUCUCUGACCCCACUGUGGGGGUUUGUUUAGCCCGUAAGGGGUGUUUGUCUGUUUGGCCCAGCAAUCCUAUGGGACACAACAAGGAUGUUGUGUUUGUAUGAGGAAAUGUUUGUGACAUCCCACAUCGGAUAGAGGAGAAAGUUCUUGACGCUAUAUAUAUUCCUCUUAACCUUGUAGAUGUAUUUUAAAGUUGUGAGGGUCAUUUGGGUCUAGAGUAGACAAUAACUACAUGGUUGGGUGCGGGUCGUUACAAAUGAUAUCAGAGCCGAUCCUCAACCUCAAUGUGGGAGUUUGUUUGGUCCCGUAGGGGGUGUUUGUUUGUUUGGUCUAAUAAUCACAUGGAACACAACGAGGAAAUUAUGUCUUUAUGGGAGGGAGUGUUUAUGGCAUCCCACACUGGAUAUGGGAGAAAGUUCUUAGCGCUAUAUAUAUAGAGGUUUUUCUUAACUCUGCAGACGCAUUUUAAAGCUGUGAAAGCCCUAUUGGGUUAAGAACGGACAAUAUCUACAUGGUUAGGUGUGGGUUGUUACAAAUAGUAUCAAAGUCAAUCUCUGACUAUGAUGUGGGGGUUUGUUUCACUCCUUAUGAGGUGUUUGUCUGUUUAACUCCGCAAUCCCAUGGAAUACAAUGAGGACAUUAUGCAUACAUGGUGGUGGUUUGUGACAUCCCACAUCAAAUAGGGGAGAAAGUUUUUGGCACUACAUAUGUAUGGACUCUCCUCUUAAGUAAGUAGACGUAUUUUAAAGUUGUGAGGGCUCAUUUGGGUCCAGAGCGAACAAUAUCUAUACGGUUGGGUGCGAGUUGUUACAAAUGGUAUCAGUGCCAAUCCUUGACCACGGUGUAGGGGUUUGUUUGGUUCUGUAAUCUUAUGGGACACAACAAAGACGUUGUGAUUGCAUGAGAGAGAGAGAGAGAGAGAGAGAGAGGUUUGUGACAUCCCACAUUGAUUACUACUCAAAAAGUACUCUUUUAUAGCUUGAAACUAAUUGUUUUAAACACUUUUGAGUAGUAGUUAAUACAUUUUAACUCAAUUGGCACAUUAUGGAACCUAGCAAGGGUUACUAAUCAGUUUUUAGCAAGUUUUGGUGUUUUUGGUAGCUAUUUGAUCAUUGAAACAAGCCAAGAAUGAGGGAGAAUUUUGUGAAAUCCAUGGCAAUGCAAGUUGAAGCUCAAAUACAUGAAGAAUCCGAGCUUUGGAGCACUUCAUAGCCCUUUGCCAAGACAAUCAGAGAUGCAAGAAAGAAAACCAGAUGAAGUAAUCCAACAACCGGCAUUUUCGCAUGGCUAUGCGAAAAUUUCGCAUAGCAUGCGAAAAUUUAGAGGAGGAGCAGUUGCAGGACUGAGUGAAGGACAAAUUUUGCAUACCCUGUGAAACCAUAAGAGGCAGCCAAAGAAUUUCGUACACUAUGCGAAAUUUCGCAUGGUAUGCGAAAUCUUCUUGUGCACCAACUCCGUUAGAUUUUUAUUUCUAAAUAUUUGGUGUAAUUUCCUAUUUUCUCCUUAUAAUCAACCUAGAUAUUUUCUUUUAUAUCUUUUUAUAUUUUUUUGGUAACAUCUUAGAUAGACACAGAGGGAGACACACAGAUGGAUGGAGAUUCAUUGAACACUUGUAAAUUCCCGUAGUAAGAAAUAUACAGAACUUUUGCUCUGUCUUUCCUUCUCAUUUUAUUUUCACUUUUCUUUUUAGCCAAACAACCUCUGAGGAUGAUUUCUCAAGGGAUGAGUGGCUAGGUUUUAUGUUUCUUGGAGUGAUAGAAGCUAGGUGAAGGACCCGAAUGCAAAGGUGAGAGUUGUCCUUGCUUUAAAUGAAAGUAGUUGUUAACCAUUAGUGGUUUUUAUUUCAAGGUUUAGCUUUAAAUCCCUUAAAAUCACCUUGAAUGACCAAUACUUGGUAAGCUUUUCGGAUUCUAUGGAUGCUUAUUGCUAGAUCCAUGGAUGUCCAUUAGUUAUCAUUUACGAGACAUUGGAAGGUGGUUCAAGGUGAGAAUCACCUUGAAUGGCCAAUACUUGGUAAGCUUUUCGGAUUCUAUAGAUGUUUAUUGCUAGAUCCAUGGAUGUCCAUUAGUUAUCAUUUACAAGCCAUUGGAAGGUGGUUUAAGGUGAGGGUCUUUAGUGUUUAAAGCCAUUAAUGGGAAACAAUUACCAUUUUUCAUGAACCUUUUGGAUCAAAUCUUAAUUGCUAAAUACAAAACCGGUUCGGGAAAUAACCAUCUUUUAUGUUAUUGUCCCCAACGCAAGGAGAAGAUCCGGAAUCUCCCCCUUUGCCUAAAGAACCCGAUCCUAGUGACCUAAAGCUCCAAGAGACUUUUUCUUUGUAGUUAACUUCACUUAUUAUUUUUGCUUAACUUAAAAUCAAUCUUUGCAACCACAAUUCCAUUUUCUUUAAAAGCUAAUUUUCAUAAGGAAAAACACCAUUUUAUUUCCUUCACUAGAGUCAACUGUACGAUGAAAACCCAUCCCUGUGGACGAUCCUAGAGCCACUAUACUAUGUUAGCUAUGCUACCUUAGUGUAAGGUGAUUUAGGCUUUAUAAAUUUUGUUGAUAACACCCAUCUAGGCCAAAAUCAAAUGGCACGACUGUAAUGGGGACGAAUCACACAUUGACAAAUUUUAACGACAAAUUGGUCAUGUAAUGGUUUGAAAAAUGUCUAUGAAAUAUAUGAGAUCAUGCUAAAAUUUUGAUAUGAAAUUUAGUUUACUAAAUUAUUAUGUUUGAAUUUUUUUUAUUUCUUGUUUUGUUUUAUUUUUUUAUUUUCUCAUUUUUGGCAUUUCCCUUAUGGGGCUAUGGAUUUGCUAGAUCCUAAGACUAGUAAAGUCUUUAAGGUUAAUGGCGAUAGGGUUAAGCCAUUUGUGGAGGGAAUCAAUGAAGUUGGGGAUCAAAUCCCCUUUCAAAUUAAUGUUGCUCACUAGCCCAAAUGAGUUCUUCUUCAUUUUGUACAUAGUUGGAGCUUUCAGGGAGUGUGUGCGUUCAUUUCUUUUGGUGUUAUUAUUUAUUUUUCUUUAUUUAGGUGGGUUGCUUCAUAAUUUUAAUCUCAAAUGGUGCAAAACAUAUGUUCUUCUGAUGGAAAGAAUGGGAGAUGGCAGGUGCUAGUUUGCUGUGGAUUCGAAGUCUUUCGAGAUUUUGAUCAACAUUGUUGGAGGGGGAGCUUCGUGGUAUCAUCUUGGAGAAAAGUAGAGGCUUCUCCACUUGGAUAAGGUUUGACGAUUCUAGUUUGAGGUGUUUUCUGGAGGGAGUGGAAGUUUGCUGUAGGGAGGAGAGGCUUGGGAAAGUUGUAAAAAAUUGGGAAAAUGAGAGAAAGAGAUUUAGAUUGAAAAAAUGUGCUAACGAGGUGGGGAGGUACAUUCUUUGCUAUGGUCGUAAUUUGGAAGCAAAGAGGUUCUGUUUGGUAUUUCUGGAUGGUAGAAGGAUUCUAGAAGGGUGGGUUUUGCUAGUUGACAAGCUNNNNNNNNNNNNNNNNNNNNNNNNNNNNNNNNNNNNNNNNNNNNNNNNNNNNNNNNNNNNNNNNNNNNNNNNNNNNNNNNNNNNNNNNNNNNNNNNNNNNGGGGGGGGGGGGUGAGUUUUUGGAAUUUGGGAGGUGACUUCUUUCUUACAGAAUUUGAGGUUGUAGAGGAAGCUGAAAGAGUGCUACGAAGAGGGAUUCGACAUUUUAAGGAUAAGACGUUUCAUCUAGAGAGGUAGGGACCCGAGGUAGGUUGUUUUUGCCCGGAGUUCAUGCAAAUCACUAUUGGGUGAGGGCGGUGGGGCUUCCUCUAAAUUUAUAAAACUAGAAGGUGUUCAGGAAAUUGGAGGAUAGUCGCGAAGGGUUGAUUGCUGUGGAUGAUGACACGUCUAAAUUUGUGCAGCUUCAGUGAGCUAGGCAUUUGUGAGGACGUAAGGGAAGAUUUACUUGGGUCGUUACAUUUGGUGGUGGGUUCCUUAUGUUUUGCAAUCUAGCUAUUGUGGGAAGUGCCACCUUGGGUGUCAGUGGUGGUGCCGACGCAAGGGAAGGAGUGGUCGAAUGUUAGAAAUGAAAGAGGUUUGGAUUCACACGUUUGGAGCAGCGUGGGGCCAUCGUGGGUGCAAGGGCAGACUCUAAGGGAUGGAGUAGUAGGGCCAGUUGGUGAAGGUAGAGCUUAGCAGAUGGGAGUUAUUUCUAAUCAGUAUGGCAUGAGUAUGGUCGAGGGUGCCGAGGUAGGUGUAGGAAAUGAUGGGAAUGGGAAGGGGAAGGGGAAUGAGAAAAGAGUAGUUGAGGUUACUAGUGUUAGUUCAUAUGAUGGAGUGAGAUUAAAGGGGAAAGGAAGUUGGCCUAGAGUGCUUUGGGUCGAGUCGGACAAGGUGAGAAACAACGAGCUUUUGAGAGCCCAGGAUUCCUGUCAGCGGGUUGUUGUUAAGUUUGGGCCUGUAGUCCAUGAGGUUCUUAGGAUGGACUUUUCUUUGGGGAUAUUAGGAGCCGUUGGGCUUGGGGACUCAAGCCAGUCCAACUUUCCAACUAUUAGUCAAGAGGGUCUAGCCUAGAUGACUGUUACUGGAAGAUUAAAUAGGGUUAGGGCUCCUAUUGUUGAGUCUUCGUGUUUGGAAAGGAGGCUCAUUGAAGCAAUUCUCAGUGUUGUGUUGUUGGCUAAAGAAAGAGGAAAGUUUAGAGCAUAUGAGUCCCUAUUGGAGGAAGCUUCUAGGUACUCCCAUUUUGAGACUUGCUCUUUUCUUAGCCUUGAGGGUCAAGGUUCUUCUUCUUCUUUCUGUGGAGGGAAAAAAGAGGUGGUGGUUACUAACCAAGACCUUGUGGCAUUCAAGGGCCAUCCUAUGUGAACGGAAAGGGGUUGGUUGACCCAUUGAGAGUAAUCCGGGUAGAUGGGAGGGAGAGGGGAGUUUCGAUCGAUUUGGAAGAGGGAACCAAAAAAUAUGAUGGGAGAGCGUUGCUAGCAAAAGAUGUGGAAAGAGUUUUGGAGGAGGAAAAAAUGAGUGUUUUGGGUUUGUGGAUAAAUGGUAGUUUCGUGAAACUUUGUCAUUGUCUGGGUAUGCCUACUGAGGGGUUUGAGGGGGAAUUUCGUUGCUUUUGAGAAAAAUGGAAGAGAGGAAAAAUCUUAAGGGUGUUUCGACCGAAAAAAGAAGGAAAAUACAAAAGGUUUCUAGAUCAGAGAAGGAAUUGAAAAAACUUAAGUGCUCAGUGAAUUACAGUGGUGCUAGGAGAAAUGCGGGGAUACUUCAGUUUGCUAACUAAAGUUGGUGUCUUUUUGGUGCUGAGAGGUAAGUGAGGUUUUUCUAGGUUUGUGUAAUGAAGUUAAGAAUAUUAUCGUGGAACGUAAGAGAGGCUAAUGAUUAUGAGAAAAGAAAGGUGAUCAAGGCAUUGAUUAAAGAUCAAAAUGUGGAUUUGGUGUGCUUGCAGGAGACUAAGAUGCAGGAGAUGUCAGAAAGGAUAGUGUGGACCCGCAUUUUUCACGUGCGUCCCCACUCGAUCGACGAGACUCGCUUUUUAUUUGUGAAAAAUUGAUUUUUGAAAAAAAAGUUGGAGUCGCCACUUAUUUUAUUUUUAUUUUUGAAGGGAAAAUAAAACAAGAAAUAAAACCCUAAAAAAAUUGACUCCAUAAUUUUUGGAAAAGCGUGUCUUUGAAAAACCCGAGUCUAAGUCCGGGGAUCAGGUUACUUAUUGGGAAGGUACCUCUAGGAGGUAGCACCCCUCUAAGCCCUAAAGAGGUCUCUACUGACUAAGUUAAGGGAAGCGUGGCAAUUAAAUGGUUGAUCUUGGAUACCUAAGUAGGCUAGGUGAUUCCAAAAAAAAACAUAACAUAUCAAACAAGAUCAAAUCACAAUUAAGGAGAGUUAAAAAUGCGUACCUGGACGGCUUCCCAAGCGCUAUCAUAAAACAUAAGAGAUUAGUUUGGAGAUACAUCACACAACAUUUGUUUUAUCAAAGAUAAUCAAACAAUCAUCAAAUGUAUAUCAAGGCAAUUAAAGAGGAUAGCAAGCAUGGACAUACAUAUUCAUAGGGUUUAGAAAGUGGGUAUUAUGGAACGUACCUGGAUAGCAUAUUUAACUCCUAAUGCGCUUCCACAAAACAUGAGAGGUUAGAUAACAAACAAUAAAAUAAGAAGUCCUAGCAUGCUCGUUAUCUAAUUAUCAUAGCAGAAAUUGUCAAAAUAUAUGAAAACAAUAAUUAUCACACUCAUCCUGUAUACCAUUUCUAAAAAAAAGAUAGACAUAAUUUCAACAAGUGACAAAAAUGGCAAUAAAAAUAAUUUUUGAAAAGAUUUUCUUAUGUAGGGGUUUCACCAAUUCCCCAAAUUAAUAUACACAAAUUUAGCCCAGAAUUAUCCCAUUAUUUGGGACCACAAGCUUUGAUUCGUGUUUUUGUUCAAAACCAAACUUUUUGUUAGAAACCGAGAAGGAUGCAAACCGAACAAAAUAUGGUUGCAUAUUAUUUUUUAAAAUAAAAAAAAAGAUUUUGAUCCUGAGGACUCUAAAUGAGUUUUUGAAAUAAAUUUUUAAAAUGAUUUUUUGAGAAAAGUAUUUUAUUUUAAAAUAAAAGGAAUUAAUUUGGAAAAAAUAAAAUAUAAGAAAUAAAAUACCAAACAAAACAAAAAUGAAACCUCAAAGUAAAAUUUUUUAGUAAUUAACAAAAAUGAUAAUGGUGAUGGUAGAGACCAAUCUUCAUGAUUUUCCAAUGGCCUCUAAAAAUCAAAUUUAAUAAAUAUUCAUCAAAGCAACAAACCAAACGACUUUAGAUCAAAUAAAACUAAUGAAAUAUUAAUCGGGAAUUUAUAAGGAUCAAUCAAACACAUAAAUUGAGAUAAACAAUCUAGAACUAAUUUAAAAUCAACCAAACACCUAAACAUGUAAUUAUAAUAAUGUGAAUAUAGUAACACAAGCACAUAGAAUUCUAAAACAUAUUAACUAAUCAAAAACUAGAAUCAUCAAUUUUAGAACGUGAGCAAAAUAACAUAAGAUUAGUUAAACUAAUUAACCUAUUAGAAAAAAAAAAAAAGCAUGAACUAAAUAUUGAUAAACCAAGAAUGAAGAUUAGUAUACUCAAAACAUGAAUAAUACGACUUAGGGUUAAUUAAAUUAGUUAUCUAAAACUUUGGAAAACAUACAAACUAAAAGUGGAUCAACCAAGAAUUAACCAAAUAUUUCUUAAACUAAUCAACUUAAAUCCUAAAAAGGAUGAAUCAGAAAAAUGAUUUACAAUUUUUUUUUUUAAAAAACAUAAAUUUAAUUAGAUGGGAUCAAAUAGACUAAUGAGCUAAAAUUCUAAAAUAUCUAAACUAAAUAAGAUGAACCAAAACAAGAUCAAAAUAAACUUAAAAACAUAAACUUUAUUACAUAGGAUCAAUUAGAAUGAUAGACUAAAAAUUAUAAAACACUUGAACUAAAUAAAAAGCUGACUCAUAAAAAAACUGACUUUUAAAAUUAAAUCUAUUAAAACCGAUCUAAGCAAAAUUCUAACUUUUCGAACUAAGCAAGGAAUCAAAUCCAAACUACACAAAGAUUCUAAUUUUUCAAUGUAAUAUAAUGAAUCAAAAUUAAAAUAAAACAAAAAAUUCUCACCUUUUAAACCAAAGUAAUGAAUCAAAACUAAGCAAAAAAAAAUUUACUUUUCAAUCUAAUAUAAAAAAAAUCAAAACUAGAUUAAACAAAAUUCAAACAUUUCAAAAAUAACGCAAGGAAUAAAAAAUAAAUUAAAUAAAAUUUUAACCUUUCAAUCUAGUUCAAUGAAUAAAAAAUUGAAUCAAACAAAAAUUCUAAUUUUUCGAGACAAACAUAAUGAAUUAAACUUAAACUAAACAAAACCUAACUUUUGAAACCAUGACAAUAAAUCAAAAUCAAACUAACUACAUCCUAACUUUUUCAUCCGAUUAAAAAAAAAAAUCAAAAUUAAUACAUAAAAACUCUAACUUUCAAUCCAAUAAAAAAAUUAAAACUAAAAUCCUUAGAAAUUCUAACUUACCUUCUCUAGAGUUCCUCUAUGGUGGUGCGGCUGCUAGUGCUCAAUGGUGAAUGUGUGGUGGCUGCCUCCUUCCUCUUCCUUCUCACCGGCCUCUCUUUGUUCCCUAAAAAUAAUAUCUCUCCGUGUCAAUCUCUAAAAAAAUAAAUCCUUCCGUUGCUUCCAAAAAAUAAUAUCUCUCCGUGUGGAUCUCCAAAAAAAAAUCCUUCCUCCUAUAUGGCAGCCUCCUCCUUUAUACAUAUAUGAGUUGCCUUCUUUUUAUUUGGAAAGUUCGUCUUCUCCCAAUUGUGCAUGGCUUUUCCUAGUAUGGAAAAUGUGAUUGCCAAUAUACCGAAUGCAUGAUUCUGUCCUCCAAAAAAAUAUCUCAUGCAACCACAAUAUUUUCUUAUUAAAAAUUCAGCUUCCCAUAAAUUCUCUAGUGUCAUUGAACUCCAAUUUCGAAUUGCAUAAAGAUACCUCUUAGACUUUCUAUCACACCCCAUUUCAUCAACCCUCCUCACAGAAUCUUUAAUACUCUCCGGCUUAUGCAGCAAAAAUCUCGGGAAGCUAAAUACAACUUUCUUUAUCUGUGUCGUGCUGAUUCCACAACUCUUCAUGAAUUCAAUAUUAGGUUUCAAGGUCUUCCCUAAAUCAUGUUUCAGAAACCGCGCACAAAUCUUCAAAACCUUAGAGACAUCCGAGUUCGAACCCAUAACACUCUGCAAUGCUACAAUUGAUGGCAGCAAGCCAUUAUUAGCACUCCUAUUUAAGAUCCACGGGUCUUGCGAUAUAAUAUAAGCAAUGUCGGUGGGCGUACAGCCCAAAUCCUGGAAAAUCUUGAUUUUGGGCUUGAUGGUCUUGUCAAGGUUGGCAGAGAGAACACGGGGGACUCGUUUGACUGUUUUCUCGAGAUGGGUCUGGGAAAAGCCGCUUUCCUUGAGGAAUGCUAGUAUGGAAUCAGACUUCUCGGGCUUUUUCAAAUGUUAUCACAGAAGCGGCCGUUAGAGCGGUUUCUUGGGAGAACUGGUGCCGCUUGAUCAAGUAAUCGGCAGUAGAGACGGGGAUAGCUGGUUUUUUUUUUUUUUUUUUUUUUGGGGUCCGGAGGAGGAGAAGAAGAGGAGAGAGAGGGAGCAGGAGAAGUGAGGUUUGUUGGUGGAGGCAGCGCAGAAGCAGUGGUCGCCGGAAGAGGAGCGAGCUUGGGUAGUUAUUGUUCAGCGUGGAGUUCCGGUUCGACGAUUUCUUCUUGGCAACGUUGAGGAGAUACCUGUCCACGCUGGGUUUUAGUCAAGAAGGUGAGCCUUUUCAUGUUGGUCGCGGUGGAGGCGAUGAUGGUGGCGAACUCUGUCGGCAGUUGUGAACUUCCCCUUUUUCAAUGCAAAAUUCCAGAAGCACUAGCAGUCCUGUUGCGGCUUCUUUUUUAUAUCGGCAUCAGAAGUCACUAAAACUCCAGUUGUCAUUCACCCUCAGGCGUGGUAUGCAUGCCCCCAUGUCCACAUGUUCUUCACGCCAGAUCAUCCUCUCCAGAGACUUCCAGAGAAACUCCAAAAAUGCCUGACCUCCUAUGCCUUGCUCACGUGACAGCUGCAUCAACUUCAUCCUUCUUUAAAAUUCCUCUUCCCAUGCAAAAUAUAAUAGAAUAAUAGUAUAAAAAAAAAUUAAAAGGAAACUAAAGAAACUAAUGAAAUUAGUAAUAAAAUAGAAUAUGAUUUCAAAAAAAAAGGCAAAGGAAUAAUGAGAGCUUAGAUAAUAUCAUUUCCUCCUUCAAUAAUAGGGUCACAUGCGUAUUUAAAGUAUAAACAAUUCAAGCAAUUUUUUUUAUUAAGUAAAUAAAUAAAAAUAAAUAAAUAAAUAAAGACAAUUAAAUACAUGAAUAAAUAAAUAAUAAAAAGUAAAAGUAAAAAAUGAAUAGACAAAAUAAAUGUAAUUAUCAAAUACAUGCCAUAAUAAUAAUAAUAUUGUAUAUAUAAGAAAUAAUAACAAUAAAAUGUUGAGCCUCAAUGAAAUGUCUAAAUGGACCUAUUCUGAAAAAGGUGUCUAAGUGACCCAAGUGACGUGUGUAAAUAAGGAGGUGUCUCGGUGCGAGUCAAGGUGAAUCUAGGUGGGCCUAGGGUGCCUAAAUGGACCUAGGGUGCCUAAAUGGGCUUAAGUGCCUAAGUGGGCCCAGGGUGCCUAAGUGGACUUAAGAUGGUGCUUAAUGGGCCAAGUGCAUCUCAAAACUAUCCUAGAAAUGAAUGAAAAGUCUAAUUCUAAAUUAGGGCUGCCAAAGGUCACAAUAAGGGGUCAGAUAAUCCCUCAACCAAAGUCUCUGAGGUGGCUCAAGAAAGAUAAGUAGUAUGAGUAGCUAUGGGCCACCAAGGAACUACUAUAAAGUAUCGAAUAAGUAUCUAAUAGGACAUGUGCUAGGAGGACAAAAUUGAGGGUCUACAGAUAGUCAGGAGCCUUGGUGUGGGAAGAUGUUUAGAUUGGGAGGCCGUCAACUCGAGAGGGGCCUCUGGUGGAGUGUUGGUGUUUUGAGAUAAUAGGGUGUUACAGUUAUUGGAGGCAGAAGUAGGGAUUUUCUCAGUGUUUUAGUGGUUCAAAAUAUGUGAGGAUGACUUUUGUUGGAACUUCACUAGGGUCUAUGGUCCUACGUUGAAAAAAUAGAGGGAAGAUUUUUUGGAUGAAUUAAAUGCUAUGAGAGGGUUAUGGGGUGGCCCUUGGUGCAUGGCAGGUGAUUUUAAUGUGGUUAGGUUCCCUGUGGAAAGCAGUAUGAGAGGCAGACUAACCUACUCAAUGAAGAGAUUCUUGGAGAUUAUUGAGGAUUUAGAGUUAAGGGACCUACCUUUGCAGGGAGGCUCUUUCACUUGGAAUGGUGGGUUGAAUAAUCAAUCUCAUUCUAUGCUUGAUCGGUUUUUGGUCUCAAAUGAGUGGGAAUGUCACUUUUCAGGGGUUGUGCAGUGUGUUCUUCCUAAACCGGUUUCAGAUUAUUUUCCAAUUCUUCUAGAUGGGGGAUGAGUGAGAAGAGACCCGAUGCCUUUUAGAUUUGAAAAUAUGUGGUUGAAGAAGAAAGGUUUCAAGGAAAAAGUGUAGGCUUUGUGGGAAGGUCUCAGUUUUAGUGGGUCUGCUAGCUUUGUGUUGGUAGCUAAGUUGAAAGCUUUGAAGCCAUUAUUGAGAGACUGGAAUAGGUUGGAUUUCGGUAAAAUGGAAGUCAAUAAGACUUUGGCUUUGAAUCAGGUGGAUUUCUGUGACAAGGUAAAGUUAACCUUGCCUCUUACUGUUCAUGAAUUGGAAGCAAGGAGAGAAGCAAAUGAGGACUUUAAAAAGUGGGUUUUUCUGGAAGAAAUUUUGUGGAGACAGAAAUCAAGGAAAGUUUGGCUGAGUGAGGGGGAUAGGAACACUAGUUUCUUCUAGAGGAGAAUGGGGUUAGAAAUGGUGUGGUGAAUGAGUUUAAGUUGUUGAUGUCUGUUGCAAGAUGAUGGAGACCCAAUAUAAGUGGGAUGUCCUUUGAGAAGUUGGAGUCUAUGGAUGCAACUAGACUGGAUGAGCCGUUUUCAGAGCAGGAGGUGCUAGAAGCUCUUAAGGGCUUUUGUGGGGACAAAGCGCUUGAGCCUGAUGGUUUUCCUAUGGCUUUUUGGCAAUUUUCUUAGGAUUUUGUGAAGAAGAAGAUCAUGGAUUUUUUGUAGGGAGUUUCAUAACCAUGGUCGGUUUGUUAAAAGUCUAAAUGCAACGUCCUUUGUUUUGAUCCUAAAAAAAAAAAAAAAAAAACAGAAGACUUAAGGGACUUCAGGCCUAUUAGUUUGGUGGGAGGGUUGUAUAAGUGACUGGUUAAAGCUAGUGGUGGGUAAGGUGGUCUCUAAGGCUCAAAAUGCUUUUGUGGAAGGAAGACAAAUUUUGAAUGUUGUCUUUGUUGUUAAUGAAGUUAUAGACUCGAUAUUGAAGAGCAAUGAAGGGGCGGUGAUGUGUAAGUUGGAUAUAGAAAAUGCGUAUGAUCAUGUGGACUGGUCCAUCUUGUUUUCAGUCAUGAGUAUGAUGGGUUUUGGGGAGAAAUGGAUCCGGUGGAUGCAGUGGUGUAUUUCCACAGCCAACUUUUAUGUUCUGGUUAAUGGGUCUUCUUCAGGUUUCUUCCAAAGUUCUAGGAGUUUAAGGUAGAGGGAUCGCCUCUCUUCGUACCUAUUUGUGAUGAUUAUGGAGGUUCUUAGUUGUCUCUUAAGGUGUGCAGUAAAUGAGGGUUUUUUGUUAGCCUUUAAGGUGAGGAGUAGAGGAAGUGAGGGGGUUCAGGUGUCUCAUUUACUUUUCGCUGAUGAUACUUUGGUUUUCUGUGGAGCUUCUAAGGAUCAAUUGUUGUAUUUAAGUUGGAUUUUAAUGUGGUUUGAGGCCAUGUCGAGGUUGAGAAUUAAUCUGGAUAAAAGUGAGUUAAUAUCAAUGGGUGGUGUGGAAAACACGGAGGCUUUGGCCACAAAUCUUGGGUGUAAGGUUGGAAGUCUUCCGUCCACUUAUUUGGGAUUGCCAUUAGGUACGCCUCAUAGAUCUGUGGCUGUUUAGGAUGGAGUGGAGGAUGCAGAAGAAAUUGGCUAGAUGGAAGAGCUAAUACAUUUCCAAAGGAGGAAGGAUGACCUUGAUUCGGAGCACUUUGGCGAGUAUGCCCAUUUACUUCAUGUUUGUGCUUUUUAUGCUUAGAAAGGUCAGAUUGAGGAUACAGCAGAUUCAGAGGGAUUUUUUGUGGGGAGGUGAGACCCUUGAGUAGAAACCUCAACUUGUUCGGUGGGGUUUGGUUUGCCUAGAUAAGAGCAAAGAGGGGUUGGAGGUAAAAUACCUUUCUACCCUCAAUAAGGCACUUUUGUGUAAAUGGAGCUGGAGAUUUGAAAAAGAGAGAGAGGCCUUUUGGAAUCAAGUGAUCAGGGGAAAGUAUGGGGAGGAGCAAGGGAGUUGGUGUUCUAAGUGAAGAGUGGAUAUGGUGUGGGGUUAUGGAAAACAUUUAGGAAAGAGUGGAGUGUUGUAAGUAGUAGACUCUAUUUUGUAGUGGGAAAUGGGUAAAAGGUGAAAUUCUGGAAAGAUAGAUGGUGUGAGGAUGAACCUCUUUGUGUUUCUUUUCCCUCUUUAUUUGAUUUAAUUGUCUUCAAGGAUGCUUGGGUAAAAGAUGUGUGGUGUUCCAAUGAGGGUGGGGGGAGUUGGAGCCCACACUUCUCCAAACCGUUUAAAGAUUAGGAGAUGGAUGAGGUGUGCAGAUUCUUUUUGGGCCUUAAUGGGAAGAGAGUUCGACAGGCAGUGGAAGAUAGGGUGAUUUGGAGAGAGACUAAAUGUGGGAAUUUUUCUGUUAAGUCUCUCUACAAAUCAUUAGUUUCAGGCCUUCCAGCCUUUUUCCCUUCGUUGGCCAUUUGGAAAGUUUAUGUGCAAUCUAGAGUGAGUUUUUUUUUGGGUAGGAAGCAAUGUGGGGAAAGGCUCUUACCUUGGAUCAACUUCAAAAGAGAGGAUGACCUUUAGCUAACAGAUGUUAUCUUUGUCAAAGGCACGAAGAAUCAAUAGAUCACAUUUUUCUCCACUGUGCCAAGGCAAAGACUCUUUGGGCGUUGCUUUGCUCUCUUUUUAGGGUGCAGUGGGCGCUGUCGGCAAGAAACAAAGUUGUCUUUGAGGAAGAAGAGUUGUCAAUCCAAAGACUUAAGAAUUCUUUUAUAUAUUUCCUUUGGUUAGAGACGAAACUAUUUAUAAAAGAUGGUCCUUGGACUUUAGUUGAUUUUAUUGAUUGGGUGGGAACCUAUUGAGGGUGGGGUUCGGGCUGCACCUCCGUCCUUAGCAUCCAACUAAGGAGUGGGUUCUUCUUUGUAAUCUUUAAGUCGUUGCUUUGACAAUUUUUUAAUACAAUUUUAUCAUUUACUUAUAAAUAAAAAAAAAAUUAAUCUCAAUAGCUCUCUUUGCAUAACUUCUUGUAGACUUGUGGAUUCCAUAGUUGUUUGUGGUUGUUGCCUUUUUUUCUCAAGUACUAAAUUUGUACACCACCACACCCCCCCCACAAAAAAAAAAAAAAAAAAAAAAAAUAGUGCACUAAGGGGCUUGAAUUUGAAAGAGAGGACACUCAAGGUCCAAUUUUAAUAAAUCUUACUUUAUAUAUUUUGUAUAAUAAUUACAUACAAAAUAAAUAUACUUAUAAAUAUAAUUAUAAAUAGUUUUAAAAAUAAUUAUACAUAUCAUCAUUAUCAUUUUUUUUUAUAUCCUUAAACUUAUCCAAACUAAGAAUUAAAUGUGUGUUUUCAAAUUCCUUAAAUUAUUAUCAAAUGUCACAUAUUUUAUAAGUUAAUAUACAUUAUUUUCUUCACUAAGCUAGCUUCAAUAUGUGCAUUAGUAGUUGUUUUAUCAUUUUCUGUAAGUUUCAAUAUUUUUUAGUUUGAUCAAUUUUCGUUUUACUGAUCUUUUUUUAUUUGAAUUUGGGUCCCUUGUUUCCAAUAUUUCUCUUUGUUUCCCUAAAUCCAAGUAUUCAUAUUUUCAUAAAUUCUCAUAUUCAAAAUGGGAUAAAUUAAUGGGAUGAAUUAGAUAAUAACAGCAUUAGUCAAGUCAUCCCUGGAAGUUUUAUUGAAAGAGAAUUUUGAAACAUAAAGUCGUGAAGUAGAAACCACGCUUGGCACUCUAAUGAAACAUAAAAUUAUUCAGUAGCAACUACAUUUUAAUAGUAGAAUCAAACAUACAAAAGUUCAUUUAUUCGGACACUGGACUUAGCUUAUCAACCCCUUAACCGAAGAAAAGGGACAUGCUCUCCAAUGAAAUAAAAGAGCAGUUCUCGGUAAUAGGAGUUCAAGUAGAGAAAAGCAACGAUGCAUAAGAAUGCCACUCCGUAUGAUCCUCCAAAACUCCAUAAGAAUAUGGCUUCCCAAGAGCUAUUUUCUCUGUUGUCUGAAACUGGUGGUUUGACUGCAGGUGGGGCACUAGUGGGAGUGCAACUUUGAUCUAAUGGCAGCCCACAUAGAAGAGGGUUGCCCUCGUAACUGCUUUGUUCAAAUGUUGCAAACUGAAACUUCCUCUCUGGAGUCUUACCUGAUAAAUUGUUGUGAGCGACAGUGAAAAUCGUCAAGAAGUUUAACUCUAUUACCAUCUGUGGUGGAAUUUGACCUGUCAAUCUAUUGUGGGAUAGGUCCAAGCUUUCUAUUUCCUUUAGGUUGGAAAAUGUAUGUGGAAUAGAUCCUGUCAACUGGUUGUACGAUAAGUUUAGAGUAUGAAUCCCACUUAGAUUUCCAAUUUCUGGAGGAAUUGGACCUGCCAAUUUGUUCCCUGAAAGAUCCAAUCCAGACAUGA
rnacentral:lncRNA from 1 species